rnacentral:rRNA from 1 species
CAGGCCUAACACAUGCAAGUCGAGCGGUAACAUAUCUAGCUUGCUAGAUGAUGACGAGCGGCGGACGGGUGAGUAAUACUUGGGGAUCUGCCUGAUGGCGGGGGACAACCACUGGAAACGGUGGCUAAUACCGCGUAAUACCUACGGGUUAAAGUGUGGGACCUUCGGGCCACACGCCAUCAGAUGAACCCAAGCGAGAUUAGCUAGUUGGUGGGGUAAAGGCUCACCAAGGCGACGAUCUCUAGCUGUUCUGAGAGGAUGAUCAGCCACACUGGGACUGAGACACGGCCCAGACUCCUACGGGAGGCAGCAGUGGGGAAUAUUGGACAAUGGGCGCAAGCCUGAUCCAGCCAUGCCGCGUGCGUGAAGAAGGCCUUCGGGUUGUAAAGCACUUUCAGUGGUGAGGAAGGGGUGCUAGUUAAUAGCUAGCAUCAUUGACGUUAGCCACAGAAGAAGCACCGGCUAACUCCGUGCCAGCAGCCGCGGUAAUACGGAGGGUGCGAGCGUUAAUCGGAAUUACUGGGCGUAAAGCGCACGUAGGCGGUUUGUUAAGCAAGAUGUGAAAGCCCAGGGCUCAACCUUGGAAUUGCAUUUUGAACUGGCAAGCUAGAGUUUUGAAGAGGGUGGUAGAAUUUCCAGUGUAGCGGUGAAAUGCGUAGAUAUUGGAAGGAAUACCAGUGGCGAAGGCGGCCACCCGGUCAAAAACUGACGCUGAGGAGCGAAAGCGUGGGGAGCAAACAGGAUUAGAUACCCUGGUAGUCCACGCCGUAAACGAUGUCAACUAGUUGUUCGUGUCAUUAUGACGUGAGUAACGCAGCUAACGCACUAAGUUGACCGCCUGGGGAGUCGGCCGCAAGGUUAAAAC